rnacentral:rRNA from 1 species
UACAGGGGGUGCAAACGUUGCUCGGAAUUAUUGGGCGUAAAGCGUGCGUAGGCGGUUUGUUAAGUCCGUUGUGAAAGCCCUGGGCUCAACCUGGGAAUUGCAGUGGAUACUGGCGAGCUAGAGUGCGGUAGAGGAUGGUGGAAUUCCCGGUGUAGCGGUGAAAUGCGUAGAGAUCGGGAGGAACACCCGUGGCGAAGGCGGCCAUCUGGACCAGCACUGACGCUGAGGCACGAAAGCGUGGGGAGCAAACAGG